UAUGGACAGCGCAUGUGUGACGCCACCUAUUGGUUUGUGGAGAUCUGCUAUGAGUCUGUAGAGGAGAGGGG